UUUUUUUUUGCGUAGGUCAAUGUCCGUGGCGGGAUAUACCGGGCCAUGUAAUUAUUAGUUUAAUUGAAUUGAAGCUUCAUUCCCCAAAAGGUUUGGGUGUAACAUAAUUUAUUUUAUUUUGACAACCACACUUUGAUUGUGUAUUUUUUGUGUGAUGUUGUGGUUCCUUAUUACCAACUUAAAUAAUUAUUCCUCUUAACGAUAAAUAACAUAACAUAAUUCUCUGUGAUAAUCAAGACUUAAAUAAAUUGUUAUUUUCUGUUGUUAA